ACGAUCAGGAUAUUUGGAUAUAAUGUGCUAAAAACGUGUCCCGUUUUCUCUUACCCCACUAAUUGCUAUAGAGAAUAGACUAUCACGUAAGACUUAACCUAAAAGUAUCCAGAUACCAAAAAGACCGAACAGUUUUUAACCACAAAUUGAAUGUCAAGUUAGCCAGCCAAAUAAACAGCCGAUGAGCAAGAACACUGAGUCGCCACAAAACAUCUAGAAGAUUCAAUUGUGCAAUUGGGCAAAACAACUUUAAACUGCACUCAUAGAAAAACACAGACGCUGUAGUAGGGUGGGCACCUGACAUUUACUGAAACACGGAAAAGCAAACAAAAUGCGCUAUUCUGGUGAAGACGCCCUUUUUUAUUAAACUGGAAGUUAAACUUAAAACCAGUCGUCUCUCGCUUAAAUUUCUCAGCAAAUAUUCUGAUUUUUGUCUGUUGGAUGUAGCAAUUUUAAAUUUAGUUUUGUACUUCUGUU